AUUGAACGCUGGCGGCAGGCCUAACACAUGCAAGUCGAACGGCAGCAGGGUAAUAGCUUCCGCUUACAGGUGCCGAGGGGCGGACAAGUUCGGAAUAUCUCCGAUUCUGCGGGUUAUUGCGGCGUAACAUUGGCAAACAUACCCUACUACCUCCGACGGACAACGGGGGAAAGCAUGGGAUCUCGCGCCCUUAGCGGAGGCUGGGAGGCGAUGUCGGAUUAGCUAGUUGGUGGGGUAAAGGCGUACCAAGGCGACGAUCCGUAGCUGGUCUGAGAGGAUGAUCAGCCACACUGGAACUGAGACACGGUCCAGACUCCUACGGGAGGCAGCAGUGGGGAAUAUUGGACAAUGGGCGCAAGCCUGAUCCAGCCAUGCCGCGUGCGUGAAGAAGGCCUUCGGGUUGUAAAGCACUUUUGUUCGGAAAGAAAAGCAGUAAGUUAAUACCGCGCUGUUAUGACGGUACCAAAAGAAUAAGCACCGGCUAACUUCGUG
rnacentral:rRNA from 1 species